rnacentral:rRNA from 1 species
UGAGGAAUAUUGGUCAAUGGACGCGAGUCUGAACCAGCCAAGUAGCGUGAAGGAUGACUGCCCUAUGGGUUGUAAACUUCUUUUAUAUGGGAAUAAAGUGGUCCACGUGUGGAUUUUUGUAUGUACCAUAUGAAUAAGGAUCGGCUAAC